UACAGAGGUCUCAAGCGUUGUUCGGAUUCAUUGGGCGUAAAGGGUGCGUAGGCGGCGCGGUAAGUCGGGUGUGAAAUCUCGGAGCUUAACUCCGAAACUGCAUUCGAUACUGCCGUGCUUGAGGACUGGGGAGGAGACUGGAAUUUACGGUGUAGCGGUGAAAUGCGUAGAUAUCGUAAGGAAGACCAGUGGCGAAGGCGGGUCUCUGGACAGUGACUGACACUCAACUACGAAAGCGUGGGGAGCAAACAGG
rnacentral:rRNA from 1 species